AGGUGGGGACGGAGCAGCUGGUGUCUCGGCAGUAGAUGCGGCGGAUCAUAAGGACUUGGGUUUUGAGCGCCCUGCAGGAAGCCACUGGCCGCGUCCAGGGUCACCUGUGCCUGGUCGUUAGUCCCUCACAAUGCUGUCACUUUGUGACGCUCUUGUGCAGGAUUAAAUGUGAACAGCAGAGACGUGGGUGAUGCGCUGCCUCGUCAGAUGAUGGUCAGUUGUCCAAGCGGGCUGCCUUGCUCUUGGUGGCCUCAUCAUCCAGGGCUCACACACUGGAUGGUUGGGCCACAGUCGCGGUACCCCCCGGGCUGCAGGCUUUCCACCCUGCUUAGCAGGGCUCCAGGGCUCCGGGUAGAGCAGGGGGUCCCUCCCUUGGCACUUCCCCAGGGAGGAGCACGACCGUGCUCAGCUGCGGUCAGGCUGCUGCUCUUAGUUGUCUUUCCUUCUAACACUCAGGCUUCCCUUCCUGCCUCCUGGGUCGCUGAAGAAGGUCAGGUCCACAGAAAAGGCCUGGGGAGAGAAUGGUGGGGACACUUGCCUGGCCUUUGUGUUAGCGCUCAGCACACAUGUGUCCAGUGUAAAGUCCACCAAGAUUAGCAGGGCAUGGUAGCUGCCGCCUGUAAUCCCAGCUUCUCAGGAGUCUGAGGCAGGAGAAUUGCUUGAACCUGGGAGGCGGAGGUUGUAGUGAGCCAAGAUCGUGCCACUGCACUCCAGCCUGGGCGACAGAGUGAGACUCCAUCUCAAAAAAAAAAAAGUCCGUCGAGAGAGCAGGUGGCGGAUGCAGCUGAGAGCUCCAGGAAUGGGAGGGCCACGUGGUAGCCACUGGCAGCCUUGACUGAAAGAUGAAGGAGUCCAUGGUGCUAGGAGGAGGAGUUGCAUCCCAGCAGGCUCAGCUCCUGGAGCUGCCUCUCUGCACUCUGAAGGGAGGCCCAGUGGCUGCAAUAUUCUUCUUUGGGAAGUACAAUGCCAAGUAAAUAAAGAUAUUUGGGGUCAUUCUAGUUA
rnacentral:lncRNA from 10 species